AAAUAUGCUUUUCAAUAACACCUUUUCCACGUCAUAAAUAAAAAACAAGCAUAGUUGAUUAAAAAUAAUGACGCUUAAACCGCGACGGCCUCAGAAGGCUUGGUGGGGCGUUGCUCUGAUUCUAGUUUUGGUGGGUUCAACAUAUAAAGCACGAACGUGGAUGCAGACUGGCAAGGGAGUCUGUGUAAAAUGGUGAUAAUCAAUCGAAUCCUAGCUAGGGCGUGGUUGAAGGAGAUGAUUUAGGCAAGCCCGACGAAUAUAGAUAGAUAUGAGAGAAUCGAUUGGAUGAGACGAUGGGAGGUAUUCAUGUUAUAAACAAUCUUUCUUAUUCGUGAAAAAGAAAACUUGGGGUUUCUGUUAUUUAAAAAAGGUACUCAUGUAAUAAGCAUUGAGGUUUUGGUUUUUGUUUGAAAUUAGUGUGGCUGGAGUGGUACGUACACUGUGUCAUAAUAUGAAUGGAGAAAAUUUUAUUUUUCAAGUGUUCUUCUACUUGUAUAAUGAAUCAGUGAUAUGUAGUGUACUACCCUAUAUUUCCAACACAUUGAAAAAUCUCUCGUUAAUUGCAGUAACAAAAUCUAUCUAUUUGGAUUUAAUCACAAUUGCCAUGCUACCAGAGCCAUGAAAUUUUGGUGUAAUAGUUGGGGGUUAUCUUAUUCAAAACUUAAUAGCGGCAGAGCCAGAGAACAAAUUAGAUAUAGACAAUUAAACCAUAGCAGGGAUUUGAAACUGAAUCAAGAGGAAGUUUCUAUCCUAGGAUGAUAGAGUAAAAAGACUUAACAAGAGUGAAGUCGAUAAGCAGGAAAGAAAUGGAGGUCUUUCUCCCAUGCACGUUUUGACCUCUUGUUUGCACUUUACAGGUUUUUUCUUCCAGCUUUUUUUUUCCUUUCCUUUUUUUAGUUCUAUUUUAUAAAAUCCACAUCAGCAUCCAUGUAAUUUAAUCAUUUUUUGAGAGCAUUUUUUGCUCACCAUCAUAACUAUAGCCUAUGCUUACCAUACACCUUUUACAUUAGACAAUUUUCAAAGGAGAUGUCAAAUUUUAAACACAAUUUAAAUUUGAAGGCUUAUGUGGCACAUUAAUCUUUUGGUAAAUUUUGUUCUCCACCCAAUAUGUCAGAUUUAAACUAUUAUAACAAAAAUUGUAAAAAACAUUUAUUACUCACUAAAAAUAGAUUUGAAACAGCUAUCAGCAACUCCCUCUGCUAUUAUUUCAUGCCAUGUCAUAUAUAAUUGAUAUUUCAGUUGAAAAACACUAAUACUGUCUUUUUUUACCGUUAUUACUAAUAUAGACUUUUUAACUUCUCCUUUAAAUUUCAGUUGGAAAUCAUUUAUCUUUUUUUACUACAUUCCAUUAAAGAUAAAUGUCCAUCACACACCCUAAUGUUAAAUGAUGAAUGUUAAAACCCUAGUGCUGCCUUUUUACACACCUUAAAGAUAAAUUUAACUCAACAACGCAAUCUUAAUAUUUGUAUCCCAGAUUCUCUACCGUCUCAUAUAUCUUCCCCCCUCCUCCCAUCUCUUUCCUCUCUCGUUUUUUCCCCUUCUCUGUCAUUGGAGCAAAUAUCACAAAUCAAAAAUCUCAAACUGGUGAAGUGUUAUUGAAUCCAGAAAUUUAUGUUCCAUUCAGGAGAUCCAAAUUACAAUAUUGAUUCCAAUUGCGAUUUGAGAUUGAAUCUCCGGUUUGGUUAAGUAACAGAGAAAGGGGAAAAACAUAAGGGGACAGAGCGAGAGGGUGAGGGUUUUUGCUUAUCAACAAAUUUGCAGAAAACAAUAAAAAAAUGUGAGAGACUCCGGGAAGACGAAACGAUGCCGUGCCAAAAAUUGUGCGAUUACUGCGUUCCAUACAUAACUAAUUAGCCAACAGACAAAAUACAAAUUAUAUAAUACAGACAAUCACAAACCCUUCUGUAAUUUAUAAAUUAUAAGUAAACAAGUCAAUUACUGAAAACAUGAAUAAAAUCAUCACAAAUAAACCCAUUUCUUCAAAUGCUUAAUAUCAUCAAAAGAAAAAAAGUAUUCGAGAAACCCAAUUGGGAACACCACAAAAAUGACAUCAGUAUCACCGUAAUUAAGGAAUGGAGGGUUCGGAGGUGGACUCGGCGUCCAUGGCCCGGACGAUUUGAAUUAAAAGAUGGAGGAAUGGAGGGUGGUGGCCUCGGGGCGUGGAUGUUUGUUGCCGUUGUCGCGGUUGUGGUGGUGGCCGUUGGAUCGAAAAGAGAAGAAGAGGAGGACGAGGUG
rnacentral:lncRNA from 1 species